UACAAUGAUAUCUAAAGAAGAAUUGCUCCCUUUUGAAAUGAUAACAUUGAAAGACAAGUCUGUUAAAGAUGCGCUUCGACUCCCUAAUGAGGAAAGGUCGGAUGCGAAGGUGAUAAUACCCAGUGAAGGUGUUUAUGAAGUUGGUGAGGAUAUACUGGUAAAACUUGACCUUUAUAAUGGAUAUGGUGACAAGGUUAAACGUGGUGGGGAUGAUGUUCGAGUAAGGAUGGUUGAAAUAAAUAAACAGCUGACAAUAGCUGGCCGUGUAAAGGAUUAUAAUAAUGGUACUUAUAUUAUAACUAUUCCUACUUUAUGGAAUGGAACAAACAAUGUUAUUAUAUACAUGCCAUAUUUUCGAGAAGAGCUCGUUACAUUUCUAACAUGGACACGACAGUUCAAUGCACUGUUUUACUAUAAAGCGAAGUUUACAAAGGGCAGUGAAGUUCAGUUUACAUUGUGUUCAUCUCGUCCAAAUAUACCUGGAUAUGAUGUCAUAUGUAAUAUGACGUAUGAAAAUGGUGAUGAUGAGUGGUACUGUGGGGCACCUCCGUCAAGAAAUCUAUCAUGUCUGGAUGUGGUAUCUAUUAUGGAUUAUCAUUUUAUAGAUGUUGCUAUAGCUAAUGGUCAACAGUAUUUACAUAGAAGGGGCGAUACCUUCAGAUUAUUCAAAGUGUUAAAAGUUGAAGUAAAAGGAGAAGAGGACAACCGAAGACAUCUACUACCUAUUUGCAAAAGAUUAUCCAAAUCAAAAACUUGGGAUACCUCAUCACCAACAGGUUAUGCUUCAAAGGGAAAAUAUUUCCCUACGUUUUGUCAAAUUAACAAAACCGAUGAGGAUAUUAAAACAUGUUUGAUAAAUACAACUGUAAUAUUUACUGGAGAUUCUACAACAAGGCAUUGGUUUA